rnacentral:rRNA from 1 species
GAAUGAACGCUGGCGGCGCGCCUAAUACAUGCAAGUCGAGCGAGAAGACGUAGCAAUACGUUUGUAAAGCGGCGAACGGGUGAGGAAUACAUGGGUAACCUACCCUCGAGUGGGGAAUAACUAGCCGAAGGUUAGCUAAUACCGCGUACGCUUCUUGGACUUCGGUUCUAGGGAGGAAAGCGUAUGCCGAGGGUAUCGCGCUCUUGGAUGGGCUCAUGGUCCUAUCAGCUUGUUGGNGAGGUAACGGCUCACCAAGGCUUCGAC